rnacentral:misc_RNA from 1 species
AUAAUUCUUUAAUAUUUAUUUAGAAAUUGCUUUCAAAUUUUCCAAAUAUUUCCUUUAAAUUAAUAAUUCUGUAUGUUCGGGUAUAUUUAAGUUUCUCAUAGAGGUACAAAUAUUUACCACAGUUUAAUAAUAAUUUGAAAGACAAAUAAAAGAAAGUGCAAUAGAUCUCCAUUAUUAGAGCACGUUUUCGAAUACACAAAGAUUUUAUUACGGAAUACUUAAUUACUCCUUGAGAUCAUAACUGCAUAGAUCUCUGAAAAGAUUAGCCUUAAUCGAUAAUCGAUAGAAAACUCGAUUAACCACGUGGAAACCCUGAGCAUCGAGCAAUAACUGAUUUAAAACAGGAUCAAUGGAUCUACACGGUUAAUCCCCUUAAACCAGUUCGGCAAGUUGCCCCCGGAGGACUUUCAAUUCCACGAUGGAAAGUGUUUAGUUCUUGUGAACUACUUACCGCUAAAUCCCUCUUACAAAGAACAGAACUUAAGUGCUCGCAAAAAAAUCCAAGUUCUCAAAGUUUUGAUCUAUACCACCAUCACAGUCAGCUCACCAAUUCUUACACAGAAGACACGAAGACCAUUAGUCCAAACGAGAACGGCCUGAAUCGUGAUUUUUGGCAGCAAGGUGACACAAGGUAAAAGUAAAGUCGGAAGGGUACGACGAGUUAAGAGGGCAGAGGUCGGCGAGUAAUGCGAAGAAGCAGAGACUGGCCUAGGAAAGGCAUACAAGGGAAAAAGGUGGAUGAAAUCGAAAAGAUGAGAGAAUCGAUAACUAUUAGAAGAGGAAUAUUUCUCUGGUUUAACCGAAGAUAACAAAGCACUUUCGAUUGGAAAAACGAUUGACUCGUAACGACGAGGAAGAGUCAUUAAAAGACUCUUGAGAUUCGAAUCGGGCGUAGACUUACGUCAUUCGUAUCCAGGUAAUAAGAUGGGAUUACGAGUGCCGGCCAGAUAAUUAGCUACAGACGCGAGUAACGCAAACAUUAAUUAACCUACACAACGAGAAUACGCGUCAUUACCGUUUACACGACAGACCUUCAAGUGUUACUGCAAUCUUGCGACUAGAUUGCACAUUUCAGCCCUGACAAUAGAGUCGUUUCCUUCUGGAAUAAGUUCACUUAAGAACAAAUAUAAAUCGC